UACGUAGGGGGCUAGCGUUGUCCGGAUUUAUUGGGCGUAAAGAGCGUGUAGGCGGCCAGGUAGGUCUGGUGUGAAAACUCGAGGCUUAACCUCGAGAUGUCAUCGGAAACCAUCUGGCUAGAGUCCGGAAGAGGAGAGUGGAAUUCCUGGUGUAGCGGUGAAAUGCGCAGAUAUCAGGAAGAACACCAAUGGCGAAAGCAGCUCUCUGGGACGGUACUGACGCUGAGACACGAAAGCCAGGGGAGCAAACGGG
rnacentral:rRNA from 1 species